rnacentral:rRNA from 1 species
GAUGAACGCUGGCGGCGUGCCUAAUACAUGCAAGUCGAGCGAACAGACGAGGAGCUUGCUCCUCUGACGUUAGCGGCGGACGGGUGAGUAACACGUGGAUAACCUACCUAUAAGACUGGGAUAACUUCGGGAAACCGGAGCUAAUACCGGAUAAUAUAUUGAACCGCAUGGUUCAAUAGUGAAAGACGGUUUUGCUGUCACUUAUAGAUGGAUCCGCGCCGCAUUAGCUAGUUGGUAAGGUAACGGCUUACCAAGGCAACGAUGCGUAGCCGACCUGAGUGGGUGAUCGGCCACACUGGAACUGAGACACGGUCCAGACUCCUACGGGAGGCAGCAGUAGGGAAUCUUCCGCAAUGGGUGAAAGCUUGACGGAGCAACGCCGCGUGAGUGAUGAAGGUCUUCGGAUCGUAAAACUCUGUUAUUAGGGAAGAACAAAUGUGUAAGUAACUAUGCACGUCUUGACGGUACCUAAUCAGAAAGCCACGGCUAACUACGUG